rnacentral:rRNA from 1 species
GGGUGCGAUCAUACCAGCACUAAUGCACCGGAUCCCAUCAGAACUCCGCAGUCAAGCGUGCUUGGGCGAGAGUAGUACUAGGAUGGGUGACCUCCCGGGAAGUCCUCGUGUUGCACCCC